rnacentral:rRNA from 1 species
AUGCAUGAGGAGUUUGAUGCUUUGCAGGCCAACCGUACAUGGACCCUCGUACCUCGGCCUCGCGGUACCAACAUCGUCACCGGAAAGUGGGUUUUUCGACACAAGCUCAAACCCGAUGGUUCCCUGGAUCGCUACAAGGCUCCUUGGGUCGUACGAGGAUUCACUCAGCGUGCUGGUGUUGAUUUUGGAGAGACAUUCAGUCCUGUGGUGAAGCCUUCUACUAUCCUCAUAGUGCUCCAUCUUGCCGCCUCACGUCAUUGGCCCGUUCAUCAAUUGGACGUCUCCAAUGCGUUUCUUUGUGGAGUACUACAGGAACGGGUUUAUUGUGCUCAAUCUCCAGGUUUUGUCGACACGGAUCACCCGAAGCAUGUGUGUUUAUUGUCUAAGUCUCUUUAUGGACUUAAACAGGCUCCCCGCGCCUGGUACACACGCAUU